rnacentral:lncRNA from 1 species
UGUUCGCUGAUAAACAGCCUUGACUGCGACGUAUCGACCUACUUAUACACGCACGGCUAUAUAAGGUCCUGGAAACACUCCACAGCAUAAAGAAACCAUGAAGUUUGUGAUUGUCCUCGUGUUUGCCUCUCUCCUGGUCGCCACCCAGGCAGCCCAGACCUCUUGUGGCAAGGGGUGUGCAGACUCAGGCUCUAACGCCCACUCUUUCUGCGAAAACCUCUGCUCCAGCUGUACCGGCCACGUCAACUGUAACCACCAUCUUGACGAAUGCGAGUGCCACUCAAAUGACCAUACUCACAAGCCAUGAGCGCCGCCAUCAAGCUGCAGGAUAUGACAGUGUGACUGUGCUAAGGAGGGUGUUUGUCAAUAAAGUUACUUCAGAUUGCA